rnacentral:misc_RNA from 1 species
GAACCUUUCACAGCCUGAGACAGUUUACCCCUCUACCACCACCGAAUGAACCUCUUUCCAUUACCCAAUACGCUUUCUCUCUUCUUCAAUCUUUCACCACCAAACCAACCAUCGAUACUUUCCUCGUCAACUCUAAUACAGGCGUUUCUCUUACCUACGCUCAACUUCUCAGCCAGACCCACUUUCUCUCCCUCUCUCUCCAAACUCAAUUCUCUCUCUCUACGAACGACGUCGCUUUUAUCCUCUGUCCGCCUUCUGUCCACGUCCCGGUUCUCUACUUCUCUCUCCUUUCUCUCGGUGUCACUCUCUCUCCCGCCAAUCCACUCGCUUCCAACUCUGAGAUUACUCACCAAAUCCAACUCUGUAAACCCAAAAUUGCAUUCGCUACAUCCCAAACAGCACAUAAACUCCCUUCUCUUCCCUUCGGAACCAUCCUCAUCGACUCGCCUGA